GGAGCCCCUGGAGAAGCUGUACCAGGUGGGCUUGCUGCUGCUGGAGACCUGGAGGAUGACAGCAAGGAUGAGAACCUCUUCCUGCACCUGGCCACCAACAGCUGAAGAUGCCGGACUUGGAUUCUGGCCCUUUCUUCAAAGCCGGGCUCCACAGCGAAUUUGCAGAUGAGUGCACACCCGGGUGGAUGCUCCCAGAUUUGGGCAUUGCUCAGCCUGGCCAGGAACCAAAGGUUCCCCCCUUUGCUGGGGUGGAUGCAACUGAUCCUUCAGUCGGCUGCCUUGCUGCUUUUUGGCAGGGCUGGGGAGAUGGGCUGGGCUGGUUACCAAAUGGGAGUUGGCUCCUGGCCCUGCCAACAGCCCCCACCACGCACCGUGCCCCAGGCUGGGGCUGGGGCUGGGGCAGCCAGCCCAACACAAACAAACGCCCAUGGUGGGGGCAGAGGUGGGUCUCCAGAACCUGUCCAUGGGCGGCUCUGCUUUGCAGGCAAGGAAGGGCUUGGGCUGCUCCACUGCCCUUGGUUGCUUUGGGAUCUCUAGGGGGGCAGUGCAGGGGGGAUGGGAGAGAACAUGGGCUUCCCUCUCACCCGUGGGUGGGUUUUUCCCCAGCAUGUAGGGGUUGGGCCUUUCUCAAGCCCCUGACAGAUACAAGAUCUUUUACCAUUUUUCUUGUUUCCCCUUUUUGUCUGUAAUCAAUUUUCAGUAGUUUGUUGUUUGUUUUUCUAAAGGAAGUGUUCUAGGUAGUGUCCGGUCUGGAUUGGGAAGUGCUUGGGAGCAGCUGUGGCGUGGAUGGGCCGUGCCCUUGGGGAAGGCUGAGGACAUCGUUUGGGAGCAGCUUUUCUUGAGGCAGCAGAUGGCGUGAGCCGGGCUCUGCGGAUGCUGAGGCUGCUCUGGGCUCUGCCAGGGCUCUGCUGGGCUCAGCCCUGGGCACGGCUGGGCUCGCUCUGCCCUCACAUUGCUCUGACAGCUUUGCACCAGACGAGCCCUUUCCAAGCACAGUGCCUGAGCUUUCUGCUUUUGCAGAAGUGCCACGAGUGGGCGAAACCUGGCGAGUGGGCCGUGUUCCUGAGACAGUGUGAUCUGGAGUUAAUGGCUGAAGAAUUGCCCUUCUGCACUUGUAAACCAGAGCAAAAAGCUAUAACGUUUUAUAAAAGGAAUGUCCUUUGCUGCUGGUUCCCAUGUGGAGCAGCUCCCUUCCCGCUGGCUGAGCUGCUCAGGGAGAGCUUGGCAGCUCCUGGCCCUGCAGGGCUGAGGCUUUUCCCCGUUGCUGAGCACAGACUGAUGGAGCAGCACUGCUGAACAUGAGGACACCCAGAGGGAGCAGAAGCAGCUGCCUUUGUCCACCUGAAGCUCCAAGGCCCAAACUCUGAGCACACAGGGCUGGAAGAGACUGGCAGGCUCCCUGUUUGCUGUGCUGCCCCACUUGUGCCUGGCCCAGCUCUGCGUGAGGCUGAGGGAGAACAAGGGGCAGCUCCCUGCCAGCCCCAGCCCAGGGACCCCUCCGGCCCCAGGGCUUGGGGCGCUGUCAGCACCCGCUGCUCCAGCCACCGCUUCUGCUGGCCCUGACAGCAACAAGCAAAUUGUGGCUGAUCCCCAGGGAGCAGCAGCAGUGCCUGCAUCUGAUCCCUCACUCUGGCGCAGGGCUGGACAAAGGACCCCCACAGCAGCAGCAGCACAUGGAGCUGACUUUCAGCACAGCCCCUGCCACUGUUCCCUCCCGUGUGCACUGGUGUCACAGCAGCCUGAGGCACCUGGGAGCCCUCAGGGCCAGCAGGGACUUGAGAUGGCAGCCCUGGGCUCCUGGGGGUUGUGCAAGGAACAGAGGUGGGGGCUCCUUCUCCACCUAGAGCUUCCAGAUGGAAAAGGCUGCUGUGAGCAGGCAGCUCCAAGGGCAGAGAAAGGAGGGUCUGGACCUCUGGAUCUGUGCCAGUUCAGCAUUGCUGAGCCUCCCCUUUUGUGCUCCUUUCCUGCUUUGAACUGGAGUAAAUGACACUGAUUCCUUCAGGUGGUGUGUGUGUCUUUGGUGCUGACCCUGCCCACUGGUUAAACAACACUGGCACAGUCUGGCCAGAUCACACCAAAAUGUCUCUUUUUCAAUGUAAAUGUGAGGAACCAGUCCCCUCCAAAAUUCUGGGAUGGGAAAACCUUCUUUAGUGGUCACUGGCUCUGGAGUGGACUGAGGUCUGAGCACUGUGCAAGCCAUGGGGGAGUCGCUCCAAAGAAGCUGAAGCACUGGAUGUAUUAAAAUGCAUCCAGAAAUUGCAUAUGGAGAAAGGGAAAGAACUUGUGGGUUUGGAAGAAAAAGCUGAAUUUUGUUUAUGAGGACACUGGAAACAGCACUAACAGAAGGAACAAUUCUUGUUGGAACCCUCCAACAUGGAGCGACAG